rnacentral:tRNA from 1 species
ACCAUCUGCUGUAACGGGGAAGCAAGUCCUGUUUGAGUCAGGACGAGGAGGCCUUGGGGGUCGUGGUGUAUCCUUGACGCUGGAUGGUG